GACGAACGCUGGCGGCGUGCCUAACACAUGCAAGUCGAGCGAGUGAAUCUCCUUCGGGAGUGAAGCUAGCGGCGGACGGGUGAGUAACACGUGGGCAACCUGCCUCAUAGAGGGGAAUAGCCUUUCGAAAGGAAGAUUAAUACCGCAUAAGAUUGUAGCUUCGCAUGAAGUAGCAAUUAAAGGAGCAAUCCACUAUGAGAUGGGCCCGCGGCGCAUUAGCUAGUUGGUGAGGUAACGGCUCACCAAGGCGACGAUGCGUAGCCGACCUGAGAGGGUGAUCGGCCACAUUGGGACUGAGACACGGCCCAGACUCCUACGGGAGGCAGCAGUGGGGAAUAUUGCGCAAUGGGGGAAACCCUGAUGCAGCAACGCCGCGUGAGUGAUGACGGCCUUCGGGUUGUAAAGCUCUGUCUUCAGGGACGAUAAUGACGGUACCUGAGGAGGAAGCCACGGCUAACUACGUGCCAGCCGCCGCCGUAA
rnacentral:rRNA from 1 species